GAUGAACGCUGGCGGCAUGCCUAAUACAUGCAAGUCGAGCGAACUGACGAGAAGCUUUCUUUUCUGGUGUUAGCGGCGGACGGGUGAUUAACACUUGGAUAACCUACCUAUAAGACUCGUGUAACUUCGGGAAACCUGAGCUACUGCCGGAUAAUAUUUUGAACUUCAUGGUUCAAAAGUGUAAUACGGUCUUUCUUUCACUUAUAGAUGGAUCCGCGCUGCAUUAGUUAGUUGGUAAGGUAACUGCUUACCAAGGCAACGAUGCAUAGCCGACCUGAGAGGGUGAACGGCUACACUGGAACUGAGACACGGCACAGACUCCUACGCGAGGAAGCAGUAGGGAAUCCUACGCAAUGCGCGAAAGCCUGACGGAGCAACACCGGGUGAGUGAUGACGGUCUUAGGCUCGUAAAACGCUGUUAGUCGGGAAGAACAUAUGUGUAAGUACCUGUGAACAUAUUGACGGUACCUAAUCAGAAAGCCACGGCUAACUACGUG
rnacentral:rRNA from 1 species